rnacentral:rRNA from 1 species
UACGUAGGGUGCGAGCGUUGUCCGGAAUUAUUGGGCGUAAAGAGCUCGUAGGCGGUGUGUCGCGUCGGUCGUGAAAACUUGGGGCUUAACUCUGAGCUUGCGGUCGAUACGGGCAUCACUGGAGUUCGGCAGGGGAGACUGGAAUUCCUGGUGUAGCGGUGAAAUGCGCAGAUAUCAGGAGGAACACCGGUGGCGAAGGCAGCUCUCUGGGACGGUA